CGCCGCACACCCCAUCGAUCUCUCAUCUGCCCCACUACUCUUCUCUAACGUGCCACACUCGUCCCCACUCCUGUUUAUUUUUUUGGCCGCUCUCCCUCUUCCUUUCACCAUUCAUCUCCAACAGUUAUUACACAAACCCCCGAUUACGGAAGUGAACUUCCAUAAAACCAGUUUCGGAAAUGUAGAUCACCCAAAAAAAAAAUGGGCACUUACUGAAGUCGACUUCCGUAAGCCAUCAAUACCGGAAGUCCACUUCCGUAGUUAAAACUAAGUUCCGAUUUCCGUGAACAUCAGUGACUUCUGUAGAGUGUGGCGCGACUUCCGUACACGAAGACGACUUCCGCAGGCGACAGGCGACUUCCACUUCCGAGGACAUAAAUGAAAGAGCAUGAAUAUUUGGAGGUGCAGAAGAAAUAUUUGGGGUGCAGGAAGAAACCCCCGUGUCUUUCUGAAUGAGUUUUCUACAACAGCCCUAUGGGAAAUGUAUUUCGAAAAGACGUUUUGAAAUUUAUGACAUACAUUCUGAAAGAGCUUUCCGUAAUGAAUUUUUUUUCGCAUUUUCUCUCUUCUUCCGUUACAGUGUUCUCCCACUCUUCUACAUUCACUUACAUAUAUGAAGCCCAGACACACCUUAUCAAAUGGAAGUGUCGACACCUAUCGAACACGAUAUUCGCAUGACACUUCUACGACACGUAUCAA